UAGUCUCGCACAGAUGCAUAUCAAUAAGCGGAGGAAAAGAAACUAACAAGGAUUCCCUUAGUAACGGCGAGUGAAGCGGGAAGAGCUCAAAUUUGAAAUCUUCAAGGUUUUACCUUUGACGAAUUGUAGUUUAAAGAAGUGUUUUCUGUUGAGGUUUUGGUAAAAGUUCUUUGGAAUAGGACAUCAUAGAGGGUGAGAAUCCCGUAUUUGACCAUUAUUUUCAACUGUGUGAUACACUUUCAAAGAGUCGGAUUGUUUGGGAAUGCAGUCCAAAAUGGGUGGUAAAUUUCAUCUAAAGCUAAAUAUUGGCGAGAGACCGAUAGCGAACAAGUACCGUGAGGGAAAGAUGAAAAGAACUUUGAAAAGAGAGUUAAACAGUACGUGAAAUUGUCAAAAGGGAAGCGUUUGACACCAGUGUUGUUUUUCUGAAAAUCAAUUAAAGAACUGUUUAUGCUAAGUUGUUUAGACUUUAUCAGCUAACUGUUUAGUUUUGAGCUUUUCUUUAAUGCACUUUUCAGUUAACAAGUCAACAUCAAUUUCUUUUGCUGUAAAAAAGCUUGAGGAAGGUGGCUUGAGAUUCGUCUUAAGUGUUUAUAGCCUCUUGCCUAUGCAGUCGGAGAGAUUGAGGUCUGCAGCGUAGAUCCUUCGGGGUUAGAUACAUUUGUGCUAAGUUAUAGCUUUUUAUAGACAACUUGUUGACUAUGAUUAGUCUUGUAGCUUACUCGCUUAUGCUAUUUUACCUACGCUUAGGAUGUUGAGCGCAUGUCUCUCUCU
rnacentral:rRNA from 1 species